rnacentral:lncRNA from 1 species
CUGUGAUGGUUGAAAGUGCGGAGAUGCAUGGGUGUGGCACAAAGAUAAGCUGUGUAAUGCCUGUAAGUACUGUGGUGCUGUUGUGAUUGUAGAGACAUUGCGAGGCCGUAGAGACGUGGCUGAAGAGGAGGAGGAGUACGGGCUGACUCUGAAGCACAGCGCUCUGAAGAAGCACCACCUUGAGCCAGAGCCUGAGAGCUCUCUAUGGGACACCUUUUUCUGGUGGGUAGCUGAUGAUGACGAUGAUGAAGAUGAUGACGAAGAUGAAGGAAGCCCCAGCCGAAAGAAGCGAGGAGCCAGAGAAAGGCCCACAAAGAGUCUGAGGCACAGAACCCUGCCGGGGAAGUCACUGCUGAAGGGGGGCGAGGGCAGCCUGAGAGACAGGAAGGAGAAACGCAGGAGGGGAGAAGAGGAGGAGAAGGUGAAAGGAAAACGAGACCAUGAUAAGAGGACAAAGAAGAGGAAAAUAGAAGAAGAAGAAGAAGAAGAGGAGGAGGAGGAGGAGGAGGAGGAGGAGGAGGAAGACGACCUGGAAGAGGAGGAGGAAGAAGAGAAGAAACCAAAGACAACACAGAGAAAACCUAAAAAUGUAAAGGAAAAACAAACCCGUCCCAAAGGCAAGGAGGUGAAGAAGAAAGCCGAGUGAUGACUUAUACAGAUGGUAAUGGAACAGCAGUACUUCCAGUACUGUCCACCUGUGGUUGCCAGGAUACACCUAACAACACUAAACUACAAAUAGAAUUGAAUUCCAAACUUAUGAACCUGCAAUACUGCUGUUUACACGUGGGUCAGGUGGGUGGCACCAUUCCACUCCUGGGUGCCAACUUUCACUUUUAAUCACUAGAUCAGUGGGUUUCAAUCUUCCUUUUGGGCCCAUGUGCAGCUGUGCAUAUUUUUAAUCUUUCCCUGCACAAGAUAUGACUGAACUUGCCAGUGACACUUGAUUGGCUGAACCCACUAGAUUUAGCUAUUCAACAGCAUUCUAAUCACACUAACUUUAACCAGGUGUGUUUGAAGCAGAGAUGGAUAGAUUAUAUACUAGGCAUGAGGGUUUCAGUAGCUAAAUUAAGAAGCCUUUCCCUACAUGCAUCGAAUCCCCGAUACUUUAAAAAUACGGGAGUGCUCAACAUAUAGACCUAUCACUAAGACCUGAUCAGUGAUGAGGGACCUCAUUGCUGGAAAUAUAUAUUUGUUUUUUGCCUAUCCACACAGGAACAUAUGGAUAUCAAUACUGUGAAUGCAAAUGCAUGAUCGCUGAGAAGCACUUUCAACAUGUGAAUGGCAAGAUUUGACGACUUCUAAACGGUAGCAUCUCAGACUAUAUAUGGAAGAUAUGACAUAGGUAGGAUGUGUAAACCUAAAAACAAAAGCCUUUAAACUAUACUAAUAAAUUAAGCAAAUUAAUGAAAAUGUGUAUAUAU